UACUCUUUUGGAAGUGCCUAAA
rnacentral:snRNA from 1 species